UCUCUUUUAAACACAGCCAGGCCCCAUGGAUCCAAGAAGACCCUGGGAUGCAAUAAAAUCUUAAGGAACCAGGGAUCAGCUAUAAACACAUCAGCCCCUCAUGAAACUAAAUGGAACAUUGUGAUGUAGUGGAAUUUAAUGUAUUCAAGUCUCUACUUUGAGCAAGAGUGGCCUCAUGGAACACAGGUGCCACGGGGACAUUGCCAGGCCUAGUGAAAACAGGACUCCAUUAUUGCACAGCAAGGCCUCAUGGAAUCCAGGAGACAAAUGUGACACAAUGCAACAUCUGCGAACCAAGCAGCAACUGCAAACACAAAUAGCACAUCCUUGAAGCGAGGUGCUGUUGGAUCUUGUCAGUGUCUAUUGUGACACAGCACAGCCUCAUGAUGCACAGUGACACCAUCAAAUCUUGAGGAGGCAAGUAUUAAUUGUGAACACUGUCAGACCUUAUGGAAGCCAGGAGACCACUGUGAUGCACUGGAAUAUAAAGGAACCAAGGCUCUACUUUGAGCAAGAUGGUCCUCAUGGCACACAGGUGACACUGGGACACUGCAAGGCCUAAUAGAAACAAGCUUCUAUUAUUGCACAAAAAGGUCUCAUGGCAUCUGGGUGGCUGCUGUGUCACAAUGGCAUAUGAUAGAAGUAAAUUUUCAUGGCAAAGCUAAACGACCUCAUGGCACACAGGAGACCACUGUGAUGCCAUGCAAUCUUGGGGAAUGCAGAGUCAACUGCAAACAUGGCAGGGCCUCAUGGAACACAGGUGCCACUGGGAUAUCCCCAUUGCCCAUGGAAACAAGUGUCCAUUAUGACACAGACAGGCCUAAUGGAACACAGGAGACCACUGUGAUGAAAGAAAAUCUCAAGACACCAAGGCUCCAUUGUGACACAGAGGGCUAUCAUGGAACCAAGGUUAUCCAGAGGGCAUGUGAAGAAGACAUGAGCCUUCCUCCAAGAAGACCACCGAAGAGCCAGAAGACCCCUUGGAAACAAUGGGAGCAUGCACUGUGCAGUAGAGUGACGCAGAUUUCAAGAAUCAAAAAUAGGAGGAGAUUUAUGGGAAACUAAUAAUGAAUAUGUAUUAGCACACAGUAUAUAA